CAGGGAGACAACAAAAUGUUUAAUAUUAUUUUGUCACCUUAGGUCGAUCGGUAUCUCACGUUUUUAAUUUAUUAAGAAUUUCAUUUCCUAAGUUUUUCUAGGUCACACCCAUUAUUUUUCCUGGGCCAUUAGCUCAGGUGGUUAGAGCGCACCCCUGAUAAGGGUGAGGUCCCUGGUUCAAGUCCAGGAUGGCCCAUAUCUCUAUGUUGGGGGUAUAGCUCAGUUGGUAGAGCGCCUGCUUUGCAAGCAGGAUGUCAGCGGUUCGAGUCCGCUUACCUCCACUGAUUACCACCUCUCGCAUAAUCUAUUAAAAGGAAAUGUUUUGAGUUGUGAUCAAAUUCUGAACGAAUCUAGCUUCCUAAUGAAAUCAUUAAGAUGCUGGACUCAUUGAAUUAAUUUCAUUGUUUUCAGAGAACCUUGACAACUGCAUAGAUUAUUUUUAAAGACAAUAAGCAUUUUUAAUGAUGCAGAUUUAUUAUUUGUGCGAAUGCAUUAAUAACAAUUCUAUUAAGCUGAUGCUUCAAUUUUGAAGUUAUU
rnacentral:tRNA from 1 species